rnacentral:rRNA from 1 species
UGGCGGACGGGUGAGUAACGCGUGGGGAACCUGCCCUGUACAGGGGGAGUAACACUUAGAAAUAGGUGCUAAUACCGCAUAAGCGCACAGUAUCGCAUGAUACAGUGUGAAAAACUCCGGUGGUACAGGAUGGACCCGCGUCUGAUUAGCUGGUUGGCGGGGUAACGGCCCACCAAGGCGACGAUCAGUAGCCGGCCUGAGAGGGUGAACCGGCCACAUUGGGACUGAGACACGGCCCAAACUCCUACGGGAGGCAGCAG